rnacentral:rRNA from 1 species
AUUGAACGCUGGCGGCAAGCCUAACACAUGCAAGUCGAACGAGUGGCGGACGGGUGGGUAAUGUCUGGGAAACUGCCUGAUGCAGGGGGAUAACUACUGGAAACGGUAGCUAAUACCGCAUACCAUCGGAUGUGCCCAGAUGGGAUUAGCUAGUAGGUGUGGUAAAGGCUCACCUAGGCGAAGAUCCCUAGCUGGUCUGAGAGGAUGACCAGCCACACUGGAACGGAGACACGGUCCAGACGCCUACGGGAGGCAGCAGUGGGGAAUAUUGCACAAUGGGCGCAAGCCUGAUGCAGCCAUGCCGCGUGUAUGAAGAAGGCCUUCGGGUUGUAAAGUACUGUCAGCGGGGAAGCGUUACCCGCAGAAGAAGCACCGGCUAACUCCGUGCCAGCAGCCGCGGUAAUUC